rnacentral:lncRNA from 1 species
AGUAGGAGGAGUGACGGGAACCGGGAGCCGGCUCCAUGCGCCUGGAGCGCGCGGGUCCCAGCGCCCAUCGGCCCGGGGUCCGAGGGGCCCGCUGCCCGGGCUCGCUGCGUGGUGCUACCGCCCCCGGGCCCGCUGCGCCGCGUCGGAGCCCCAGCAGACUUUGAGAGGCGUGUGCGACAGUGCGCGUCCUCUCCUGCCUCUGGAUGUUUCCUUGGAGCCUCUGGCCUUCGGGAAGACCGAGAUAUUUUCCUCUAAGUGAACGGUACAGCUGUUGAAGGCAAGGACAAUGGAUACUUAAAAACAGUGCCACUGGGUUAGAGUCUCCCCGACCAAGCUGGUCUCAGCAAGUGGUCUCCAUCAUGGGGGCUCGAAUCCAGGUUGAAGGGUCACCAGAGUGAUGGUUGGAGAACAUGGAACUAGCUGGAGGACACCUGAGUACUCUUAAAGCAAACCCCGUGUUAAUUGAAAAUGCUCAGUUACGAUUUCAUACAGAUGAACAACUGAAGACAAAAACAACAAAGGGGGAGAAAGAGGGAUUAUGGGACAGCCCAUAUACAAUUGAAUCUAGCAUUAUUAACUUUAAAUUUUUUGAGUCUGCCUAAAGGCCAGAUGUUAUCAGCAGCUGAACAGCAUUUACAGAAACCGGCUGCAAAGACAGAAGCAGAACAACUGGUUUGGUGGAGAGAUCCGAUAACAAAAAGUUGGGAAAUAGGUAAAAUAAUAACUUGGGGUAGAGGUUAUGUUUGUGUUUCUCCAGGCCAAAAUCAAUAACCAAUUUGGAUACCAUCAAGACACCUGAAACCUUAUCAUGAGCCAGAUGCUGAGGAAGAGAUUCCAGGAGGAUCCUGAGGACCCCCUGGUUGCAGCCACGUCGAGGCUGACACUGAGGAGGACCCCAACUGUCAUGAGCAACACCCGUCGAACACAGCCAUCCACCUGGGGACAAAUCAAGAAGCUGUCACAGAUGAUGGAAGAAAACCUGAGGAAAGCGGGACAACCAAUCACAAUGAGUAAUUUGGUGAUCUAUCACAGUGAUGAUCACCAUUGCCAUGAGUAUUCCUUCAACAAGGGCUGACACAGAGAACAAUUAUACUUAUUGGGCAUAUUUAUCAAUCUUGUCUGGCAAUAAUGCCUAGAUGAUUUCACUCUAUGGCACAGUUACACAUGCUUUCUGAUCUCAGUAUUUACCAUAAUAAAUCUGCUCCUAUAAUUGAGGCAUACCACCCUCAAAAACCUAUUUGUAAACAAAAUAGAACCUGGCCAGAAAUAAUGAACAACUUGUUUAGUAAGAUUGCAUUGCAGAACAGGCAGAGAUGCUACGCAAUGAUUCCUAUGGGAUCAUUGAUUGGUCCCCUAAGGGGAUGUUUAGCUUAAAUUGCACCUCUCAGUCUGCAUGCCAUGGCCACACUAGUUCAGAUGGUCUGAACAAAGUGGUCAGAUGGCAGAAAUGAUAAGAAGUAUGGCAAAAGUUCCUAUUGUCUGGAACCAUGGCAGUAUAGUGUCACCUCAACCUCAAAUGAUAUGGCUCAUUGUAGGAGCUAAACAUAAGGAUUUGUGGAAACUAUUAAUAGCUCUUAAUAAGAUCAAAAUUUGGGAAAGAAUAAAAAAAGCAUCUAGAAAGACACUCUACAAACUUGUCUUUGGAUAUUACAAAAUUAAAAGAACAAAUAUUUAAAGCAUCCCAGGUACACCUGACCUUAAUGACAGAAACUGGAGUGCUUGAAGGAGCUGCAGACAGAUUAGCAGCUAGUAACCCAUUAAAAUGGAUAAAAACACUUGGAAGCUCUGUGAUUUCAAUGAUGAUUGUGCUUUUAAUCGGUAUUGUUUGUCUUUGUAUAGUGUGCAGAUGUGGAUCCUGACUCCUGUGAGAAGUAGCUCACAGUGUCAAAGCUGCCUUUGCUUUUAUCGAUUUGCAAAUCAAAUAAGGGGGACAUAUUGGGAACAGCACCCCCCCCCCCAAAAUCUGGCCAUAAACUGGUCCCAAAACUGGCCAUAAACAAAAUCUCUGCAGCACUGACAUGUUCAUGAUGGUCUUAAUGCCCACGCUGGAAGGUUGUGGGUUUACCAGAAUGAGAGCAAGGAACACCUGGCCCACCCAGGGUGGAAAACCACUUAAAGGCAUUCUUAAACCACAAACAAUAGCAUGAGUGAUCUGUGCCUUAAGGCUGUGCUACUGCUGCAGAUAACUAGCCCAACCCAUCCCUUUAUUUCAGCCCAUCCCUUCGUUUCCCAUAAGGGAUACUUUUAAUUAAUCUAAUAUGUAUAGAAAGAAUGCUAAUGACUGGCUUGCUGUUAAUAAAUAACGUGGGUAAAUCUCUGUUGGAGGCUCUCAGCUCUGAAGGC